UGGAGCGAACCUUUGGUAUUGCUGUCAUAAUUGACAGUUAACCUAAUCGGCAACACUGCAACAAAAAACGGUGUAUAUGUACAUACAUAUGUACAUAUAUAAAUGUCACAGACGGAUAUUGGGUUUAAACUUAAAAAUAUCUUUUAAGAAAAAAACUAAAUAAUAAAAACUAUAAAAUCGUCCGGAAAGUUAUUGCUGGCUAUAAAUAAAUAAAGAGUUGUCCUGGAUAGUAAAAACUAAGCAAAACUAAAAAGUUUGCUUGUUUGAAGAAGAAAUACAACUCUGGUUAUCUUGAAAUUGUGCGACGAGCAAAGGGAGAGGAAGUUUUGUUUUGACAGCCAAACAAACGGAUACUGCCAGAAACAGCUGAAAGGAACAGGCGUCAGAAAAUGAAACAAAGAUGCAUUUGAAAAUGUGAUUGCAAUAUCAUCACGUGCGAUUGAUAUUUUGGCCUGCCAUUUAUUAGACCAUUGCUAAGUUUUACUAUGUAGGACAAAUAUGAAUUUACAAUGAAUCCCGUUUAAUGCAAACGGAACAAUUAGAGACAAUAUCCAUUCUCUAUGUAUAAACAAUUGACAUACAGUACUCAUACACAUUUGUUUCUACAUAUAAAAUAUCUUUUAAUAAAAUACUUCUAUGCCAAAAACUAUAUUUUCGUUAAAACCCAAAUACAUUAGUAACUACGUUUUUAUUAUAAGAAAGCGGAAAAUCAAUUUUACUGUAUUUAUGUGUAUGUUCUUUUUAAUUCUGGCAGUCUUUUAAAAAAUCAAUAUGAAUUUGCUAAUGUUUGUUAAUUAUUCAUGAAUUGAUCACUAAAUAUGCUUACAUACAUAUGUACAAUAUUUCUACACUUACAUGUACUUAUGUAUAUUUAAGAAUAUCGUUGCUCCUACUAUAUUGUUCUUAUCUUUGUAUUGUGACUCAAGCCUAAGCUUAUGUAUGUAUGUGGUGAUUUCGGGUUCGUAUAAAUUCUGAUAAAAUAACCGCUUUUGUAAAUACAUACAUAUGUACAUACAUACUUAUAUUCAUGUAUGUAUACACAAAUGCCAUAUUUACGUUAAGGGAUAAAGGCAGAUUAAGUCGAAUUCAAAUCGAACUAAUAAAUAUUUAUUAAUUAAACCAUAAAAGACAAUAGUGGCGGGCUACUGUAACUGUUUAUACAUAUCUACAUAUACCGAUAAGAAAUUAAUUUUAUAGGAUUUAGUAUAUUACAGAAGCUGAGUAUUGAAAAGGACAACCAAUAAAUGGACAGGAAACGUCAUCUGACACCUCUCUCCCUUUGAUCCGACCUCGUGGAAACAGCAAGUUUCUUGGGCCCACCGUUGGAUGAUGUCGACGACAACUUGGCUAAUCCUUAUCAUCCUAACGGAGACUAUGUUCCCGCUACCACAACAGGACACGUCACUGUUAUCAGAAAGAAGUCUACAUGCUACUGCGAUUAUGAUCAAUUUAUGCAAUCUCAUGAAAAUGCGGAGAAGAAUUUCAAAACGCCAGAACACAGAAGUAUGGACACUGAUAGGAUGCAUCUUGAAGUCCCCUGAAUAUCAUACAGAAACUUCCUGAACUCUUUUCCUUUGAAUGAGAUGCUCACAAAAUUGUGUUUUGGAUAUAUCAGCAAUUCAGCACUUUUGAUUCUCCGCAUGAUACUAAUCAAUCCUGUUAAUGCCCUUAAUUCAGUUUUCUAACCCAAUCGUCGAUAACGUCAUUGGACGCCAUUAUAUAGUGUAUAUCAGGAAUAUCAAGGAACUGUCAAUUUAAACAAAGCCCUUGCCUUAUUUGUGACCUCAUAAUCUGAUAUACAUACAUGUGUAUUCUGUCAAACAAGAUGAAAAUGUCAUGUUUAUAUCCAAUGUUUUUAUAGCAUUCAUCGCCAUUCCUGGUAUCAGAUUUGUGAAUUAAAGCCUCGGAUUAAUUCCGUAAUGGGAAAAGUUUGCAACUGAC